UACAGAGGUCCCAAGCGUUGUUCGGAUUCACUGGGCGUAAAGGGUGCGUAGGUGGUAAGGCAAGUCAGGUGUGAAAUCUCCGGGCUCAACCCGGAAGUGGCAUUCGAAACUACCUUGCUAGAGGGUUUGAGGGGGGACUGGAAUACUUGGUGUAGCAGUGAAAUGCGUAGAUAUCAAGUGGAACACCAGUGGCGAAGGCGAGUCCCUGGAAAACUCCUGACACUGAGGCACGAAAGCUAGGGGAGCAAACAGG
rnacentral:rRNA from 1 species